rnacentral:rRNA from 1 species
AGGUGCGAUCAUACCAGCACUAAUGCAUCGGAUUCCAACGGAACUCCAAAUUUAAGCGCUUGGGCGAGAAUAGUACUAAGAUGGGUUUUGUCAUAGAACUUU